rnacentral:lncRNA from 10 species
UGUGAUGCUGUGUGGUUUCUGUCACGUACACACACACAGGCACACUCAUGCACACACCCCCUACCUCCCUGCCUACAUUCCACCCAGCCUGACUGCUCUGGAAGGAAGAAUCCCUGCAAGGUGAGUGUUAUUAUAUCCAUUUGUGGACCAGGACUGCGGCUCAGAAGCUUUUCCCAGGACACUGAACUCUGACAGGUGAAUAGCUGCCAAGUGGUGGAGGUUGGCCUGCAGUGAGCAUCAGUCUGACUUCGAAGGACAGAAUGACACAUGGUACAAGCUUUCUGUCUUACUGCCACACGUCAGUGUCCUGGGAGAUGAACCAGAUGCAGGUGAUGCCGAAGAGGUGACGGGGCCAGGGCUGGGGCAUGAGCACUGGUCAACACUGACACUCAACAGCUCCCAUCUGGCUUGUGUGUGAGCACCCGAGUGUAGCUCAAGGCAGGGACAAUAUUUGCUGGAAGUUUAGGUGUUCCCUAGGCGUCCUAGCUAGGCAGAGGAGGGAAUGAAGAUAGGUUUUGCAAGUAGAAAUAAAAAAGAAGCACUAUUAUAGCAUGAUAACAUUUCCUAAAGUCAUUUUAUGAACCAUUUUUGGUUAAUUAAAAAAAAAAAAAGCCGAUCUAUAUGUCAUGGCUGAGACAUUGAUUAGCAAGGUGCUACUUUUACAGAUGAAAGAACUAAAAACAAGAAAGACAAUGAUUCGCGCACAGUGAUUUGCUGGAGAUUGAUUGGCAAGUGUGAGCCAGACCUGGAGUAGAAUUCAACAUGUCUGGUGCCUGCUCCAGAACUCUGACAAUGAAAAGGAGUCCAGAUUUUGAGAAUGAAGAAGGUUUCAAAAGCUAAGCCAGCUUCCCUUUCACAGAGGUUCAGCUGGUCAGGCUUCUUUCAAAUCCACGCCCUGUUACGGGAGAGCACGGUGCUAGGAGCGUGUGGGAGGGGCAGCCCUGAGCCAACACUCCCUCUAGAAAAACAUCCUAAGGCCAUAUCAUGGUGACAACGGGACAGGAUUAUUAUAUUCCUAUUGGAAGGAUCACACUGUUAUGUUAUCAUUUCCUUUAGGAAAUACCCACAUCCCCAAACUACUUAGUGAUUAUGAGUCCCUACAGAACAAACAACCCUCACCUUAGACCAAAGAAAUAUGUCUCUCAGUCAAACAAAUGUACGUAGAAUCAGUGAGCGCAAAGCCCUACCUCAAAUAAGUUCAGAAGCCCCUCAAAAUGAGGUCCCGUGAUAGAGUUUCAGUAACUCUAAUGUCCCUAGUUGAGCUAACCAUCUGGCAUGGCAAACUCAUGGGCCAGUGAAUACUCGGUACUUUGCAGAUUCACAGUUUUUGUCUCUGCUUCUAUCCGACCAUACCUCUGCCCAGCUCCCUGCAAUCUGCCUGCUCUUUUGGUCAUUGAAUGACAGCGUAUCCCAGAGUGACUUUUGGGAGCUAUUUUUGAGCUUACCCAUAUUUGUAGUUCCCCAACUCACCGGGAAUGGAGGCUGGGUGAGUAGCAGAGGAACGUGCCUAGAUGUGACAAAAGAGUGGGGUAGAUGUAUUAAAUGAAUAUUCAAUGAGAACCCACUGUACGCCAAGCCCUUUUCUAGUCCAGGAAACUCAGCAAUGAGCAAAGUCAUAAAAAUCCCUUCUCUCAUAGAAUUUACAAUUUGGGAUGUGUGUGUGUGUGUGUGUGUGUGUGUGUGUGUGUGUAUGUGUGUGUAUGACACAUACACACAUUAGGGACAGGGUGGGUAAGAUAUAAUGACUAAAAUGUGUGGAAAACUUCAUAUGGUAUAUUAAAAGAAAAUAAAAGUCCAGGCACGGUGGCUCACGCCUGUAAUCCCAGCACUUUGGGAGGCUGAGGCAGGUGGAUCACCUGAGGCCAGGAGUUUGAGACCAGCAUGGCCAACAUGAUGAAACUCUGUCUCUACUAAAAAUACAAAAAUUAGCCAGGGAUGGUGGCGCAUGCCUGUAAUUCCAGCUACUUGGGAGACUGAGGUAGGAGCAUCGCUUGAACCUGGGAGGCGGAGGUUGUGGUGGGCCGAGAUUGCGCCACUGCACUCCAGCCUGAGCAAUAGAGAGAGACUCCAUCUCAAAAAUAAAUAAAAUAAAAUAAAAUAAAGUAAGUACUAUGGGGUGAAACUAGGAAAAGGGGAUAGGAGGCUUUGAGGUGGAAGGUGAUAGCUGUAAUUUAAAUAAAGUGAUAAAACUCAGUGAGAAGGUUACAUUUGAGUAAAAACUUGAAGAAAAAGUAACAAGCCGUAAGGUCAUAUGGGGAAGAGCAUUCCAGCCCCCAAAACAGCAAGUGCAGAAGCUCUAGCUAGGGCCACCCUGAUGCCCAUUUUCAGGGUGUGCUAUUCUCAUGGUACCCUAUGUAGGUGGUGUCCACUGGGAUUGUGUUAUGAACAAUGUGCAUUGGAAAACAUGGCAGACCCGUCAUAAAGCAGGAACAGCAAGGAGGCCUGGAAGGGUAGGGGGAGGCCAGAGAGAAAAUGGAGGGCCAGGUAUUUUCAGGCUCUUUCAACUAGCUCUGCUGGAAAGCUAGCUUACUGUCCAGGGAAUUUUUAGACAGUCCCUUUGCCCAUGUCUGCUGAUACCACAUGCCCUAAAAGCAGGUAGGCUGUGUCUAGCCUUCUUGGGUUUGAUAGUUGAUAAGUGAGCUCCAUGAGGGAGAUGUACAACUGAUGUGUCUUUGCAUGGCGGUUUUUUCAAUUCUCUAGCUCCCUGAUGAAUGUGGGAAUAAAAAUUUAUAUCAGAAUCGACACUGGUUAUAAUGUGAAUUUAUGACAUUACUUGAGAAUAUUCAAUUCUGCUGUAGAGGACAAAAAAAAUGGAAUAAUGAAAUCCAUCAUAAACCCUGGGCAUAGUUGAUGAUAAAAGUGCUGGCCAGGCGUGGUGGCUCAUGCCUGUAAUCCCAGCACUUUGGGAGGCCGAGGCGGGUGGAUUACCUGAGAUCAGGAGUUCAAGACCAGCCUGGCUAACAUGGCGAAACCCCGUCUCUGCUAAAAAUACAAAAAUUAGCUGGGUGUAGUGGCAUGCACCUGUAAUCCGAGCUAUCCAGGAGACUGAGACAGGAGAAUCGCUUGAACCUGGAGGCAGUAAGCCAAGAUCGCACCAUUGCAUUCCAGCCUAGGCGACAGAGCAAGACUCUGUCUCAAAAAAAAAAAAAAAAAAAAGUGCUCUGACGUUAUAUUAUGGUGUUGGUCGCACAACUUUGUGAAUAUAUGAGAAGUCAUGGAAUUGUAUACUUUCAAUGAAUAAAUUAUAAGGCAUACAAGUUAUAUCUCAAUAAAGCUGUUUGCUAAAUUUGGACGUCACUUUUUUUUUAAACAGCUUUGUUGAGGUAUAACUCUGGUGUUAUACGUUUAGUAUUUGUUUGUUCACCUCUAUCAUAAGCUAUAUAAGCUAUAUGUCUCUUAGGACUGGGAUCAUUUUUAUCAAUUGUUACACCUCCACUUCCUUGUAUAGUACUUUUUGCCCGAAUGUUAAUUUAAAAAUGUUUGUUGAAUGAUACAUUUUAGGCUAAAUGAAUACAGUUUGCAUCAGCAUUAGGGUAGACAUGUCACAUGUAGUCCACUAACCCUCCCCAAGUCUUUUAUGUGAGUUGUUGUUAAGCCAGGGCAAUUCUAUCCUGUACUUGGGCAGAAAUUUCUUGAAAAAAAUCAAAGUUAAGAGUUUACAUUUAUUUUAAAAUUUUUAUCAUGUUAGAACCCAUCAGUCAUUUUAGCCAGUUAAGUGUUUUUUUUUUUUUUUUUUUUUUUUGAGAUGGAGUCUUGCUGUUUUGCCCAGGCUGGAGUGCAGUAGUGCGAUCUUGGCUCACUGCAACAUCUGCCUCCCAGGUUCAAGUGGUUCUCCUGCCUUAGCCUCCCCAGUAGCUGGGGUGACAGGUAUGCACCAUGUUGCCCAAGUUUUUGCAUUAUUUAGUAGAGAUGGGGUUUCACCACAUUGCCCAGGCUGGUCUUGAACUCUUGACGUCAAGUGAUCUGCCCGCCUCGGCCUCCAAAGGUGCUGGGAUUACAGGCAUGAGCCACUGCGCCCAGCCAAGAUUUUCUUGGAUUUUUUUCUCUGUCAUUAAGUGUAGUCUCUAUUUCUACCUGCUUUGUACUACAAACCAAUUUAAAUAAGCAUGCUGUCUUUCUCCAUAAAAACAUUAAACUGUAGAACAAUGUUUUUAUGGAGAAAAAGAGCUAAAGUCACAUGCUGGUGGAGCAUAAAACGCUCACUUGAAGAACACCUUGGUAAUGGCUCCAGCUAACUGUACCAUGACCUAAUCCUGUGGCUGGAACCUCUGGGGAGUCUUAUCCACCUCCCCAAAUCCAUUUGACAAGCUCAGGUCCAAUACCACUUCUUUCAUGGGCUAUUCUCUGAUCUUCUCAGAAUGUCUAUCUUCUAUUGAAUUUGCCACAAUAUUUUGUUUGUACUACUCUUGAGACAUCCCACACAACCUUGAAUUAUAAUUGCUCACAUGGGUGUCUCAGCAUUUAUUCUAGACCAUAAGAUACUUAAAAGGAGGAAUUGUGAUUUCUUUGACAGUUUUGUCUCUUAGAAUUUAAGGGUGAGGGUGCUUAAUAAGUAUUAGAAAUAACGGAUAAGUAAAAUAUUCAGUGCUAUUAAAAAUACUAUUAAAUCUCAACACCUCCAGGGGUUACAUAUCUGAAAAAAGAUAUCAUACAUAUCUAUAUAAAUUCUAAAAUAAAUUGAAAUAGUCCAUAUCAAAAACCCUGCUGGAGUAGGUAACUCUUCACAAUCGACUUCAAUUAUUCAUGAUAUAAUUUUUGCAGGCACAUCAAAAAUUGUAUGUUUAGAGGUUAGAGGAUGAAUCCUCUUACAGUUUUCAAACCAGUCUGUACUAGCUUGAAAUGUAAUGUUUCUUGCACUUGAAUUUUCCCUGCUUUGUGUCUGCCAGUCUUGGCCCAAUGCUUGGGUACUUUUUUUAUGUUAUUGUGGUGCUUACAGGUGUUUUUCCAGCUGUGUUUUUCUAUCCUGAGGUUACAUCGGAGUAUGACAUGAUCAAACCUCUUCUUUGCACCAUGUCACAGAACCACCUUAAUGGAAGAGUGGACAAUAACUAUUGUGGUUUUCUCCUAUUUCAGGUGAUGGAAUGGAACCAUGUGUGUACAAAAAGAUACAGGAAUGUACAUAUUCAGUUUGCAAUAUAAAAACAUACACUGUGAUUGGAGAGGGAUUACAACAUUCUAAUUGCAAUUUUUGUCAUUUAUUCAAUAAAUAUUUCCUGGCUGGGUAUGAUGGCUCAAAGUGCCUGUAAUCCCAGCACUUUGGGAGGCCAAAGCAGGCAAAUCACCUGAGGUCAGGAGUUUGAGACCAGCCUGGCCACCAUGGUGAAACCCCAUCUCUACUAAAAAUACACAAAUUAGCUGGGUGUGGUGGUGCAUGCCUGUAAUCUCAGCUACCUGGGAGGCUGAGGCAGGAGAAUUGCUUGAACUCGGGAGGCGGAGGUUGCAGUGAGCUGAGAUUGCACCACUGCACCCCAGCCUGGGCAACAGAGUGAGACUCUGUCUCAAAACAAACAAACAAACAAACAAACAAAUUCCUGAGUGCCUACCAUAUGCUGAUUAAACUGUUCUAGAUGUUGGAGAUGCAGCUAUGGACAAGACAAAUACAGUCUCUUCUCUCCAGGAAUUUACCUUCUAAUGGAGGAGAGAGACAAAAACAACUUUGUACAUAAACCUUUUCUGAUAGUCAUUAAGAAAAUAAAGCAACAUGGUGUCCAAAUUCUAGAUUGCUCAUUUUAAAGGCUAGGGUGCCUAAAACCACAAGGAACAUUUCAGAAUUAGUAACAUUCAUACUUCGUAGAGCUAUACUUAGGCUAAUAAAUGUUUGGUAUUGUUGCCUCCCCAACAGCCACCUCAGACCACCUCCUGACUCCAAGUUUCCCUGCUCAUCAAUCCAAAAUUUUGUUGAAUAUACUACUUCCCCACCCCCAAUGGAGCUUAAGGGUUAACCUGAACUCUCUAAACCAAUCAGGGCAUUCCUACUGUCUUUGAUCGUGAGUGUUGUAGGCAGAGACAUAUAACCCAAUCCUUGCUAAUGAGACUUGAGGUAGGACCCCAGCUUCCGGAGAGGUUGCCUGGCUCCUAAAAAGAGAAAGAUACCGGAAAAGAGAUGGACUCUUCUACCACUGGAAAUCAGAUGGUGUCCUGAGUGACAUAAGUGUACUUACAACAGCCAUUUUGCAACCAUAAAGAAGCCAGUGGGAAUACACAGGCUACGUGUCCUCGAAGGCACAGAAGAAAGAAGAGAGAAAACUAUAUUCUUGAUGACACAGUUGAGCUACAGAAUUGUCCAACCCCGGAGGUGCCCCACUUCGCGUUGUGGGAGAUAAUGCAUUUUCCUUGCUGUUUAAACCACUUUGAGCUGAGUUUUCUAUUACCAGCAGCCUAAAGCAUUUUGACAGAUAAAAGUAGAUACAAAUGCACAUAUAUAAUGAGCAUCCUGACUGAACGAUUAAAUGUGUAUGUAGGCAUGCAUUACCUCCCCACUCCAUUUAUGAUUGUCACAUUUAUUUUUACUUCAGGGAAAAGCAACUAUAGAAUUUAAAAAAUCAGGAUUGAAAACAAAUACCUGAAUUUCCUACAAUUAAAAAAUCAAUCCAUUAAGUAGUGGUAUUAUGCUAAAAUAAAAUGAAUGCUUAGAAAUUUGUUAAGUGUUUAUGAUGUAAUAAGACAUCAAAUAAACCAUUUUUCUUUAAGUUCUUUAAUAAAAAAAAUCUGAUGUGGAGUCCAGUCUUUCAUUUUUAUCACUGGAAUAAAUAGAGAAUAGUCAUUGCAAUCAAUUGCCUGUUUGUUUCCCCAGAG